rnacentral:rRNA from 1 species
UACGGAGGGGGCGAGCGUUAUUCGGAAUUAUUGGGCGUAAAGGGCGCGUAGGCGGCUGAACAAGUCAAAGGUGAAAUCCCUCGGCUCAACUGAGGAACUGCCUUUGAAACUGUUCGGCUUGAGGCCGGGAGGGGGUAGCGGAAUUCCCAGUGUAGCGGUGAAAUGCGUAGAUAUUGGGAGGAACACCAGUGGCGAAGGCGGCUACCUGGACCGGUUCUGACGCUGAGGUGCGAAAGCGUGGGGAGCAAACAGG